CUCCUAAAUCCAAAAUCUCUCGUGCUUUCCUGCCGAUUCUAGGGUUUCUUACUUUGGCCAUCUUUGCCUGUACUGUGAUCUCCUAGGGUUCUUAAACCAACCAAACAAAGAAACAGAACAGAAAAAGAACAAAUAAAAAAAAAUUGUUUGGAGCUCCGGAAGUCCGCCAAUCUAGCUCUUUUAUCUCUGGUUCUUGCUGUUUUUUCGGUCCCUUUGUGAGCAUCGUUAAGAUCGGUGUACAACUACAAGUCAAGAUCUCUGCUUAAUAUUGAUGACUGGAGGUUGUUAUGACAUUAGAUUAGCUUCAGGCUGCCAAGAUCAAGCAUUGAUGUAAUGGUUGUUAGAAUUUAUCGUAAGGAAGAAGAAUCGGUGUCUCAAAAAUGACUUUCGCUAAGCUCGAUGACUCUCCUAUGUUUCGCAAGCAGAUGCAAUCCUUGGAGGAAAGUGCUGAAUUGCUAAGGGAGAGGAGUUUAAAGUUCUACAAAGGAUGUCGAAAAUACACUGAAGGACUAGGUGAGGGAUAUGAUGGGGACAUUGCCUUUGCUAGUGCUCUAGAAGCUUUUGGUGGAGGCCAUAAUGAUCCCAUUAGUGCGGCUUUUGGAGGCCCUGUUAUGACCAAAUUUACCAUAGCCUUGAGAGAAAUUGGUACAUACAAAGAAGUUCUUCGAUCUCAGGUUGAGCACAUGCUAAAUGACAGAUUACUACAAUUUGUCAAUAUUGAUUUGCACGAGGUCAAGGUUCCAUAUUCUCCAAGCACCUAACUUUUUCAUUUAGCGAGAUUGUCCAAGGGCUCUUGCUCAGGAGUUAGGAUUUUGCUGUUUGAAUAUUGAUUAUUGCAAAGUUUCUCCCUCAAAUUUCUGCUUUAAGGACCCCCCUUUUGAUGUUCAUUUAAUAUUUCCAUACAUGUCACUAUUCCUCAAUUCAUAAACGUCCUUUUGGGUUCAUAUUUUUAAAAGAUCUUGUCUUUGUGCAGGAAGCAAGGAAACGUUUUGACAAGGCUAGCCUUAUAUAUGAUCAGGUGCUUCCCUCUUGUGGGAUUGCUCAUAAUUUUCUCAUUGCUAUUGACAUCAUUUGCAUGUAUGCUGGGAUGAAAUUUCAGUCAUUUUAACUACAAAUCAUAACUUUCCGUUUUCAGUCAUGUUGGGAUGAGAUUUUCAGCAUACACUUGUGAUGCAUUUAAUUCUUCUUUUGAGAUGAGGUUACAGUUAUGCAAGAGUAUUGAACUCUGAGCUUCCAAAUCAGUGGUUUAUAUUUCUCCAAGUAUGCAAGUAGCACCUUGUUGAACUGGCUUAGGAUUAGGAAGUUGGAUUGUGCAAUUAUAUUCUGCAGAAGGAUUUGUUUUACAUCACUUUAUAGUUUGCUUAGAUUCAUAUUUGAGAACUUGAAUUAAGGUAUCUGGAUUCUCAAUCCUAUCAGCAAUCAAAUUCAUGUCUAAACAGCUAAAACAUCUCCAAAGCCAUGGUUAAUUGAUUUUAGUUUUCAUGGUAUACGUAGGCUCGGGAGAAGUUUCUGUCACUGAGAAAGGGCACGAAGACUGAUGUAGCUACUCUAUUAGAGGAGGAGCUUCAUACUGCAAGAUCUGCAUUUGAGCAAGCUCGCUUUAAUCUAGUGACUGCACUUUCUAAUGUGGAAGCAAAAAAGAGGUUUGAAUUUUUAGAAGCUGUCAGUGGGACAAUGGAUGCACAUCUUCGUUACUUCAAGCAGGGAUAUGAGUUGUUGCAUCAAAUGGAGCCAUAUAUAAAUCAGGUUCUGACUUAUGCUCAACAGUCAAGAGAGAGGUCCAACUAUGAGCAGGCAGCUCUUAACGAAAGGAUGCAAGAGUACAAAAGGCAGAUUGAUCGCGAGAGUAGAUGGUCUUCCAAUGGUUCCAAUGGAUCUCCUAAUGGAGAUGGUAUACAAGCAAUUGGUAGAAGUUCACAUAAAAUGAUAGAGGCGGUAAUGCAAUCUGCUGCAAAGGGAAAGGUCCAAACCAUUAGGCAAGGUUAUCUAUCAAAACGUUCCUCAAACUUGCGAGGUGACUGGAAGAGAAGGUUUUUUGUACUUGAUAGUCGAGGAAUGUUGUAUUACUAUCGCAAACAAUGCAGCAAAUCAUCUGGUUCUGGUAGUCAACUUUCUGGUCAAAGGAAUAGUUCUGAGCUUGGAUCUGGAUUGUUGAGUCGUUGGCUGUCUUCCCAUUAUCAUGGUGGAGUACAUGAUGAGAAAUCUGUUGCUCACCAUACUGUGAACCUUCUUACAUCAACAAUCAAGGUUGAUGCUGACCAGUCUGACUUGCGAUUCUGCUUCAGGAUUAUUUCACCAACAAAGAACUACACUUUGCAGGCAGAAAGCACGCUAGAUCAAAUGGAUUGGAUUGAAAAGAUAACAGGGGUUAUUGCUUCAUUACUUAGUGCUCAGGCUCCAGAGAGGUGUCUGCCUGCUAGUCCCAUGGGAAGUGGUCAUCAUAGGUCUGCCAGUGAGAGCAGUUCAUUUGAAAGUGCUGACUUUGACCACUCUGCCGUUGAUGAAUUUACAUCUGAGAGGAGCCUUGCUGGUGCUCAUCAUGAGCGACCAUCGAGAACCUCACAGCAACGUUCCAGUGCAGAGAAGCCAAUUGACGUGCUGCAAAGAGUAUGUGGGAAUGAUAAAUGUGCAGAUUGUGGUGCCCCAGAACCAGAUUGGGCAUCCCUAAAUCUUGGUGUUCUUGUUUGCAUCGAGUGUUCUGGUGUUCACCGUAAUCUUGGUGUGCAUUUAUCAAAGGUAAGGUCCCUCACACUGGAUGUCAAAGUAUGGGAGCCUUCUGUUAUAAGUUUGUUUCAAUCUCUGGGAAAUGCCUUUGCAAACUCAGUUUGGGAGGAGUUGCUGCAAUCAAGAAGUACCUUUCAGGUUGAUCUCAUCCCCACAGGCUCAUACAAGUCUGAUAAAUCACAGCCACAUUUUAUCUGCAAACCCAGUCCAGCUGAGUCUAUAUCAGUAAAGGAGAAGUUUAUCCAUGCAAAGUACGCAGAAAAGUUGUUUGUUCGCAAGCCUAGAGACUGUCAAUAUCCUCAUUCAGUGUCGCAGCAGCAGAUUGUGGAAGCUGUUCGUGCUAAUGACAAGAAGUCUGUGUACCGUCUUAUUAUCAAUCAUGAAGCAGAUGUCAAUGCCGUGUAUGAGCAAGCAUCUUGUAGCUCUUAUCUAACUCUUGCUAAAGUGAUGCUACUACAAGAGCAGACAGGCCUUGACCACUGCUCUAGCUGCUCAACGGGGAAUUCAUUGGACAGGUCCUCUACUAGCUCUUUGAAUUUGGCUGGUACUGGUGAAGGUCAGAUCUUGGAGGAUCUAGAUGGGUGUUCCUUGCUUCACCUCGCUUGUGAAACUGCAGAUAUUGGCAUGUUAGAACUCCUCUUACAGUACGGUGCAAAUAUAAAUUCAACUGACUCGAGAGGUCAGACGCCACUGCACCGUUGUAUUCUUAGAGGCAGAGCUGCAUUUGCAAAAUUGCUCCUUUCUAGGGGAGCAGAUCCACGGGCUGUCAAUGGGGAAGGUAAAACCCCUCUUGAGCUUGCGAUAGAGUCAAAUUUUGUUGACACUGAUGUCCUCACCUUAUUGUCAGACUCAAAUGGGUGACAUGCUCAUUAAAGGAUAAUAAUUAAAGAUUAAUUAAAAUGGGGUUGGGGAGUUAAAAAUUGAUAAUGGUAUUGCUUUUACUGUAAGUAUAUUUUAUAAGUCAAAGAGCUGGUUCUCCAUUGAGGAUGUCAGCAGUGUUUGAAAUAGAGUAGAGUGGUAGGUUGGCAUGCCUGCCCUAUGGGUAUCUAUGCAAAUUAGCCCGUCCCUCAGCGUUGUAUUUUAUGGUGCCCCAUCUGAGUCGAGAGCAGUUGAAGCUUUUAGCGAAGGGGCUCGUGUAAUGUAAUGUGUUUUGCUUAAUCAGCAUGUUUGGUUCCUGACGUGGUGGAGCUGUGAGGAUUUAGUUUAGGGCAUUUUGUGUAUUUGUACAUUGGUCUAUUCUAGUGAAGCGUUCUUGUUGCUUUAACUCUUUGAAUGCAUUAUUUGAUUUUUCCCCCCUUGAUGCAUUUGAGACGGAACUUCCAUCACAUAUUUGCUGUGUGAUAAAUGAUUCCCAAGCUCUUUUAAAUGUAAUGAUGGUAUUUGAAUUUUAGAAAUUUCUCUUCUCAAUGCAUCGUCAAAGCAUUCAUUUUCCUAUCA
rnacentral:misc_RNA from 1 species